AUUGAACGCUGGCGGCAGGCCUAACACAUGCAAGUCGAGCGGCAGAAGGGAGCUUGCCCCUGGAUUCAGCGUCGGACGGGUGAGUAAUGCCUAUGAAUCUGCCUGGUAGUGGGGGAGAACGUCCGGCAACGGGCGCUAAUACCGCAUACGUGCUGAGGGGGAGAGAGGGGGAGACUCGGACCUCACGCUAUCAGAUGAGCCUAGGUCGGAUUAGCUAGUUGGUGGGGUAAAGGCCUACCAAGGCGACGAUCCGUAACUGGUCUGAGAGGAUGAUCAGUCACACUGGAACUGAGACACGGUCCAGACUCCUACGGGAGGCAGCAGUGGGGAAUAUUGGGCAAUGGGCGAAAGCCUGAUCCAGCCAUGCCGCGUGUGUGAAGAAGGUCUUCGGAUUGUAAAGCACUUUAAGUUGGGAGGAAGGGCAGUAAGUUAAUACCUUGCUGUGUUGACGUUACCAACAGAAUAAGCACCGGCUAACUUCGUG
rnacentral:rRNA from 1 species